rnacentral:rRNA from 1 species
UACAGAGGUCCCAAGCGUUGUUCGGAUUUAUUGGGCGUAAAGGGCGCGUAGGCGGUCCUUCAAGUCAGGCGUGAAAGCCCCGGGCUCAACCUGGGAACCGCGCUUGAGACUGGCGGACUCGAGUUCGGGAGAGGAUGGUGGAAUUCCCAGUGUAGAGGUGAAAUUCGUAGAUAUUGGGAAGAACACCGAUGGCGAAGGCAGCCAUCUGGACCGACACUGACGCUGAGGCGCGAAAGCGUGGGGAGCAAACAGG